AUUGAACGCUGGCGGCGUGCCUAACACAUGCAAGUCGAGCGGUAACAGGUGUAGCAAUACAUGCUGACGAGCGGCGGACGGGUGAGUAACGCUUGGGAAUCUGCCUAUUAGUGGGGGACAACCCGGGGAAACUCGGGCUAAUACCGCAUACGCACUACGGUGGAAAGCCGGGGACCGCAAGGCCUGGCGCUAACAGAUGAGCCCAAGUCGGAUUAGCUAGUUGGUAGGGUAACGGCCUACCAAGGCGACGAUCCGUAACUGGUCUGAGAGGACGACCAGUCACACCGGAACUGAGACACGGUCCGGACUCCUACGGGAGGCAGCAGUGGGGAAUAUUGGACAAUGGGCGAAAGCCUGAUCCAGCGACGCCGCGUGGGUGAAGAAGGCCUGCGGUUGUAAGCC
rnacentral:rRNA from 1 species